rnacentral:rRNA from 2 species
UAGGGAAUCUUCGGCAAUGGGGGGAACCCUGACCGAGCAACGCCGCGUGAGUGAAGAAGGUUUUCGGAUCGUAAAGCUCUGUUGUUAAGGAAGAACGAGUGUGAGAAUGGAAAGUUCAUGCUGUGACGGUACUUAACCAGAAAGGGACGGCUAACUACGUGCCAGCAGCCGCGGUAAUACGUAGGUCCCGAGCGUUGUCCGGAUUUAUUGGGCGUAAAGCGAGCGCAGGCGGUUAGAAAAGUCUGAAGUGAAAGGCAGUGGCUCAACCAUUGUAGGCUUUGGAAACUGUUUAACUUGAGUGCAGAAGGGGAGAGUGGAAUUCCAUGUGUAGCGGUGAAAUGCGUAGAUAUAUGGAGGAACACCGGUGGCGAAAGCGGCUCUCUAGUCUGUAACUGACGCUGAGGCUCGAAAGCGUGGGGAGCGAACAGG